GACGAGCGCUGGCGGUGUGCUUAACACAUGCAAGUCGAACGGUAAGGCCCUUUCUGGGGUACACGAGUGGCGAACGGGUGAGUAACACGUGAGUAACCUGCCCUCAUCUCUGGGAUAACAGUCGGAAACGGUCGCUAAUACUGGAUAUGAGCCUGCAAGGCAUCUUGGGGGGUGGAAAGAUUUUUUGGUUGGGGAUGGACGCGCGGCCUUUCAGCUUGUUGGUGGGGUGGGAGCUCUCCAAGGCUUGGACGGGUCGCCGGCCUGAGAGGGGGACCGGCCAACUUGGGACUGAGAUACGGCCCAAACUCCUACGGGAGGCAGCAGUGGGGAAUAUUGCACAAUGGACGGAAGUCUGAUGCAGCCACGCCGCGUGCGGGAUGACGGCCUUCGGGUUGUAAACCGCUUUCAAUUGUGACGAAGCUUUUUGUGACGGUAGCAGUAGAAGAAGCACCGGCUAACUACGUG
rnacentral:rRNA from 1 species